CGAAAGCCUGACGGAGCAAGACCGCGUGAGGGAGGAAGGCUCUUGGGUUGUAAACCGCUUUUCUCAGGGAAGAAGAUCUGACGGUACCUGAGGAAUCAGCAUCGGCUAACUCCGUGCCAGCAGCCGCGGUAAUACGGAGGAUGCAAGCGUUAUCCGGAAUUAUUGGGCGUAAAGCGUCCGCAGGCGGUUCAUCAAGUCUGCUGUUAAAGGCCGAGGCUCAACUUCGGUUAAGCAGUGGAAACUGGUGAACUAGAGUGCGAUAGGGGUAGAGGGAAUUCCCAGUGUAGCGGUGAAAUGCGUAGAUAUUGGGAAGAACACCAGUGGCGAAGGCGCUCUACUGGACGGCAACUGACACUCAGGGACGAAAGCUAGGGGAGCG
rnacentral:rRNA from 1 species